rnacentral:lncRNA from 1 species
ACUGACACGUAUGAUUAAUUAACUACCUAAUUGAUUGACACAUAAGCAAAUAGUUUUUUUUUAAUUAUUACAAAAUUAAGAUUACAUCUUUUUAAAUGUUUCUCGAUUAAUAUAUAAGGGAUAGGUUAUAGUAAACUUUGAACUUUGACUAACUCAGUAUUUAAGUCUUUUCUAAGUCAAAUCAGAAAGGGCCAUAACGAUUUUUCUGUCGAUGGCUAUACCAACUUUUGAAAACGUUUCCACAGAAAAAGAGAAAAAAAAAAAGCGGAUAAUUCAUAUAAAAGAACUUAACUAUAAUUAUUUUUCUCUAUGCUUUUGAGUUAAUUGAUCUACCAAACGAGAAAGUAUGCUACUACCUUUAGGCCGCCAUGUCAUGUUAGGAAAUGUACUAGAUAAAUUUGAAUAAAUCAUUAGUUUCGAAAAGAAUAGAAGUAUAAAUUAGAAUUUGACUGGCUAGGGUUUUAAGAAACUGUGAAUGAAUAAAUAAUUUUCUACAACCUCAUUUACGUAUAAACAACAAAUCA